GCGAAUCUCGGCAAGAUUUUACCCCAGUGAAAAAGGCUUGUAAUCCAAAGUUCCUCAACCUGGAAGAUAUGUUUUGUUCCUAACCAUCUAUAAUCCAUUCUCUAUGAAGUGAAGCCUGGCUGCUGGUCUUCCUUUGGAAAUACACAGGGAAAGAAAACUACUUGAGUGUUUCUACUGCCCCCGAGAUCUGCUUAUGAGUGCAUGGGGACUGCGGUGUACCUUCUCUCCUGUUUAAACAGACUUUGGAGGCUGGCGCAUGAAUCUUCAUUCACAAAAGGCAUCAACAGUAUGUCUGUGGAAGUUCCAUUAUUCUUGGGAGUUAUGCCCAGCAACACAAAUCAUGUCCAGCACGUACAUUGGAUCUGCUAACUUUACUUUAGGAUACCUAGGAUUUCAAAAGUUCAUCAUGUUCAGGAAAGAAGACAUUUUAAUUGGUAAAUGAAGGAGAGAAAAAUUGAAGGGAGGAGGUGUAUAGUUUACAUGGUGCAUUUUAAGUACUAUGACUAGGGUGAAGAAGGGGAUUUCACUUGGAUAACUGAGGCUUGGUUAACUGAGGAACAGAAACAACACAGCUCUGUGGUCUGCAUAAACAGAUGAUUAACUGAUGAUUAAUAGCUGGCCAUACCAAGUUUGAACCUGACCACCCCAUUUUGGAGUAAAGAAGCUAAAUUGGAGAAAGUUAAAAAUAGGAAUUUUAGCAGAGGGAAAUUUAUUUUAUCAGAGAUAGCACAUUCUGUUCAUAAGUCAAGGAAACAUAUACACAGCAUUCUACAUAUUGUCCAGGACCAGAAGAAGCCAGUGGUGUUUUAUAAUUGAAAACCUCAGUGACAUCUCUUCAGAAUGUUUUCUAGACCUUUGAAAUUUUAAACUAAAAAAUCAUAACAUGUAUAUCACAGAGAGAAGACUAUCCGUUUUUUAUUAUUAUUUUUUUUUUUUUAUUUUUUAUUAUUUUUUUUUUAAACAUCACUUUAAAGUAUGUGAGUGUCCAGAUUAUUUGUAUUCUAAUAAAUUUAAAGUUCUGAAAAAAUAAAAAAGACAUACCAGAA